UAAACGGCUCUUUUCAGAGCCACCCAAAUUUUGUAAAGAGCAUAUU
rfam:Ciona savignyi cont_65799, whole genome shotgun sequence.